UAAUAAGUGUUUUAUGGCACUUUUUAAAUCCAUAUCCACCUUGUGUGCAAUGUCAGUCGAUCUUCUUCAUGGAGAUCGACCAAACAUCAACCUUUAUUUUUAACUCUUUGUCUUAAAAAUAUUAUGAAUAAACAAUUCAAAAUA
rnacentral:misc_RNA from 1 species